rnacentral:rRNA from 1 species
UGGGGAAUUUUGGACAAUGGGCGAAAGCCUGAUCCAGCAAUGCCGCGUGUGCGAAGAAGGCCUUCGGGUUGUAAAGCACUUUUGUCCGGAAAGAAAUCCGCCUGGCUAAUACCCGGGCGGGAUGACGGUACCGGAAGAAUAAGCACCGGCUAACUACGUGCCAGCAGCCGCGGUAAUACGUAGGGUGCGAGCGUUAAUCGGAAUUACUGGGCGUAAAGCGUGCGCAGGCGGCUUUGUAAGACAGAUGCGAAAUCCCCGGGCUCAACCUGGGGACUGCAUUUGUGACUGCAAGGCUAGAGUGCGUCAGAGGGAGGUGGAAUUCCGCGUGUAGCAGUGAAAUGCGUAGAGAUGCGGAGGAACACCGAUGGCGAAGGCAGCCUCCUGGGAUGACACUGACGCUCAUGCACGAAAGCGUGGGGAGCAAACA